CCUACGGGAGGCAGCAGUGGGGGAUAUUGCACAAUGGGCGAAAGCCUGAUGCAGCGACGCCGCGUGAGGGAAGACGGUCUUCGGAUUGUAAACCUCUGUCUUUGGGGAAGAAAAUGACGGUACCCAAAGAGGAAGCUCCGGCUAACUACGUGCCAGCAGCCGCGGUAAUACGUAGGGAGCAAGCGUUGUCCGGAAUUACUGGGUGUAAAGGGAGCGUAGGCGGGAUGGCAAGUAGAAUGUUAAAUCCAUCGGCUCAACCGGUGGCUGCGUUCUAAACUGCCGUUCUUGAGUGAAGUAGAGGCAGG
rnacentral:rRNA from 1 species